rnacentral:rRNA from 1 species
GAUGAACGCUGGCGGCGUGCCUAACACAUGCAAGUCGAACGAUGAAACCGCCCUCGGGCGGACAUGAAGUGGCGAACGGGUGAGUAACACGUGACCAGCCUGCCCCCCUCUCCGGGACAACCUUGGGAAACCGAGGCUAAUACCGGAUACUCCCUCCCCUGCUCCUGCAGGGGUCGGGAAAGCCCAGGCGGAGGGGGAUGGGGUCGCGGCCCAUUAGGUAGACGGCGGGGUAACGGCCCACCGUGCCCGCGAUGGGUAGCCGGGUUGAGAGACCGACCGGCCACAUUGGGACUGAGAUACGGCCCAGACUCCUACGGGAGGCAGCAGUGGGGAAUUUUGCGCAAUGGGGGCAACCCUGACGCAGCAACGCCGCGUGCGGGACGACGGCCUUCGGGUUGUAAACCGCUUUCAGCAGGGAAGAAUUCGACGGUACCUGCAGAAGAAGCUCCGGCUAACUACGUGCCAGCAGCCGCCGCGGGUAAC